rnacentral:rRNA from 1 species
AGUCGACGGUGAAGAGGAGCUUGCUCCUUGGAUCAGUGGCGAACGGGUGAGUAACACGUGAGCAAUCUGCCCUUGACUCUGGGAUAACUGCGGGAAACUGUAGCUAAUACCGGAUAUUACCUUGGAAGGCAUCUUCUGGGGUGGAAAGAAUUUUGGUCAAGGAUGAGCUCGCGGCCUAUCAGCUAGUUGGUGAGGUAAUGGCUCACCAAGGCGACGACGGGUAGCCGGCCUGAGAGGGUGACCGGCCACACUGGGACUGAGACACGGCCCAGACUCCUACGGGAGGCAGCAGUGGGGAAUAUUGCACAAUGGGCGCAAGCCUGAUGCAGCAACGCCGCGUGAGGGACGACGGCCUUCGGGUUGUAAACCUCUUUUAGUAGGGAAGAAGCGACUGGGUUUUCCUGGAAGUGACGGUACCUGCAGAAAAAGCACCGGCUAACUACGUGCCAGCAGCCGCGGUAAUACGUAGGGUGCAAGCGUUAUCCGGAAUUAUUGGGCGUAAAGAGCUCGUAGGCGGUUUGUCGCGUCUGCUGUGAAAACUGGGGGCUCAACCCCCAGCCUGCAGUGGGUACGGGCAGACUAGAGUGCGGUAGGGGAGAUUGGAAUUCCUGGUGUAGCGGUGGAAUGCGCAGAUAUCAGGAGGAACACCAAUGGCGAAGGCAGAUCUCUGGGCCGUAACUGACGCUGAGGAGCGAAAGCAUGGGGAGCG